rnacentral:lncRNA from 1 species
CCUAUACUGUUUUUGUGGUAGUGAAUAAGUCUCAUGAGAUCUGAUGGUUUUAUAGAGUCCUGCCAAUGAGAUGUAGACAGAAGUCUACUGAGACUGGCUUCUUUUCACCAACAAAAAGACAAAGCCCUUCAAGGAGAAGUCUUUAGGCCUAAUUGCCUCAUUUUUGCCUGGAACAUGGAUGUGAUUUCUGGAGGCGCACCAGCCACUGCAGGGCCCUGUUCAUAAAGUUAUGGAUGCUCACAUGUGCAAAGUUAAAGGGCCACAUCUGGUGAGGGCUUUCUUGCUGGUGAGGAUUCUCUGAAGAGUAUUGAGGCAGCAGAGGACAUCACAUGACAGAUUUCUUCCGAGUCACCGGUGGGAGCUUCCCAGGGAGAUGCGGCUUUAUUCCCUCAUGGCAGACAGGAGGAGGAUGCUGAGCGGGAGCUGAUGCCACCUGGCAGCAAUGGUGGCACAGACUGCUGGAGAGGCACAGAUUGGAACCCAAGCCUCAUCAGACGGCAGCUGUGACAGCGGCAUAUUUCAAAAAUGUAUUGCAAAUUUCACACAAGGGGUCUUUAAAAAAAUUUGAAAGUCUCCUUGGCUUUCACAGACUUUUAAUUAAGAGAGAACUCCUCUUCUUUGAAAAUCAAAACACUUUUUGCCUAUUUUAUGUAUCUAAAGGUAGAUGGGAACUUACAGCCACAUUUAAAAAAUUUGCAGUUGAUUAUGUGGUUUUCAAAUUUAAUAACCUACUAUGAAUAAUUAACUCAACAAGAAGAAAAGGGCACAUUGGCACCUCACAAUUAAAAGAGUAAGAGUGAAAUUAUGCUACCUUUGAAGACUUUAUUUAUUUAUUUAUUUAUUUAUUUAUUUAUUUAUUUAGAUGGAGUUUCACUCUUGUUGCCCAGGCUGGAGUGCAGUGGCACGACCUCGGCUCACUGCAACCUCCGUCUCCCUAGUUCAAGCGAUUCUCCUGCCUCAGCCUCUCAAGUAACUGGGAUUACAGGCAUGCACCACCACAC